rnacentral:rRNA from 1 species
GAUGAACGCUAGCGGCAGGCUUAACACAUGCAAGUCGAGGGGUAUUUAUCUUCGGAUAGAGAGACCGGCGCACGGGUGCGUAACGCGUAUGCAAUCUACCUUUUACAGAGGGAUAGCCCAGAGAAAUUUGGAUUAAUACCUCAUAGUAUAUAGACUCGGCAUCGAGAUUAUAUUAAAGUCACAACGGUAAAAGAUGAGCAUGCGUCCCAUUAGCUAGUUGGUAAGGUAACGGCUUACCAAGGCUACGAUGGGUAGGGGUCCUGAGAGGGAGAUCCCCCACACUGGUACUGAGACACGGACCAGACUCCUACGGGAGGCAGCAGUGAGGAAUAGUGGACAAUGGGCGCAAGCCUGAUCCAGCCAUGCCGCGUGCAGGAUGACGGUCCUAUGGAUUGUAAACUGCUUUUAUACGAGAAGAAACACUGCUACGUGUAGCAGCUUGACGGUAUCGUAAGAAUAAGGAUCGGCUAACUCCGUG